CAAGGGGUAGUUUAAUUAGAAUAUCAGCUUUGGGUGUUGAUGGUGGGGCUUGCGCUCUCUCCUUGA
rnacentral:tRNA from 1 species